UCAGGCCUAACACAUGCAAGUCGAGGGAGAACAUUGGAUUCGUCUGAUGGGAAACCGGCGCACGGGUGCGUAACACGUACGCAACCUACUUAUAACUGGGGUAUAGCUCAGAGAAAUUUGAAUUAAUCCCCCAUAACCCUACGAUGUGGCAUCACGAUGUAGUUAAAGCUCCGGCGGUUAUAGAUGGACAUGUGUUGCAUUAGCUAGUUGGUAAGGUAAAAGGUUCCCAAGUCUACGAUGCAUAGGGGGUUUGAGAGGAUGAUCCCCCACAGGGGUAAUGAGACACGGACCAGACUCCUACGGGAGGCAGCAGUAGGGAAUAUUGGUCAAUGGACGCAACUUUAAAAGAGCCAUGCUGCGUGCAGGAA
rnacentral:rRNA from 1 species